GAAUAUUGGACAAUGGGCGAAAGCCUGAUCCAGCCAUGCCGCGUGUGUGAAGAAGGUCUUCGGAUUGUAAAGCACUUUAAGUUGGGAGGAAGGGCAGUCAGCGAAUACCUUGCUGUUUUGCCGUUACCGACCGAAUAAGCCCCGGCUACCCCUGUGCCGUGAGCCGCGGUAAUACAGAGGGUGCAAGCGUUAAGCGGAAUUACUGGGCGUAAAGCGCGCGUAGGUGGUUCGUGAAGUUGGAGGUGAAAUCCCCGGGCUCAACCUGGGAACUGCAUCCAAAACUGGCGAGCUAGAGUAGGGCAGAGGGUGGUGGAAUUUCCUGUGUAGCGGUGAAAUGCGUAGAUAUAGGAAGGAACACCAGUGGCGAAGGCGACCACCUGGGUUCAUACUGACACUGAGGUGCGAAAGCGUGGGGAGCAAACAG
rnacentral:rRNA from 1 species